UUGGAGGGCAAGUCUGGUGCCAGCAGCCGCGGUAAUUCCAGCUCCAAUAGCGUAUAUUAAAGUUGUUGCAGUUAAAAAGCUCGUAGUUGAAUUUCGGGAUCAGAGUGUCGGUCGUGCCUCGGUACGCACUGGUAUUAUUGGUUCCUACCUUCUGAAGAACCGCGAUGUCAUUAAUUUGGUGUCGUGGGGAAUCAGGACAGCUACUUUGAAAAAAUUAGAGUGUUUAAAGCAGGCUUACGCUUGAAUACAUUAGCAUGGAAUAAUGAAAUAGGACGUUUGAUUCUAUUUUGUUGGUUUCUAGGAUUGACGUAAUGAUUAAUAGGGAUAGUUGGGGGCAUUAGUAUUCAAUUGUCAGAGGUGAAAUUCUUGGAUUUAUUGAAGACUAACUACUGCGAAAGCAUUUGCCAAGGAUGUUUUCAUUAAUCAAGAACGAAAGUUAGGGGAUCGAAGACGAUCAGAUACCGUCGUAGUCUUAACCAUAAACUAUGCCGACUAGGGAUCGGAUGAUGUUAAUUUUUUAAUGACUCAUUCGGCGCCUUACGGGAAAC
rnacentral:rRNA from 1 species